rnacentral:rRNA from 1 species
UGGGGAAUAUUGGACAAUGGGCGAAAGCCUGAUCCAGCCAUGCCGCGUGUGUGAAGAAGGUCUUCGGAUUGUAAAGCACUUUAAGUUGGGAGGAAGGGCAUUAACCUAAUACGUUAGUGUUUUGACGUUACCGACAGAAUAAGCACCGGCUAACUUCGUGCC